rnacentral:rRNA from 1 species
AAUAGAUACCCCGGUAGUCCACGCCCUAAACGAUGUCUACUAGUUGUUGGGUCUUAAUUGACUUAGUAACGCAGCUAACGCGUGAAGUAGACCGCCUGGGGAGUACGGUCGCAAGAUUAAAACUCAAAGGAAUUGACGGGGACCCGCACAAGCGGUGGGUGAUGUGGAUUAAUUCGAUGCAACGCGAAAAACCUUACCUACCCUUGACAUGGAAGGAAUCCUGGAGAGAUCUGGGAGUGCCCGAAAGGGAACCUUUACACAGGUGCUGCAUGGCUGUCGUCAGCUCGUGUCGUGAGAUGUUGGGUUAAGUCCCGCAACGAGCGCAACCCUUGUCAUUAGUUGCUACGAAAGGGCACUCUAAUGAGACUGCCGGUGACAAACCGGAGGAAGGUGGGGAUGACGUCAAGUCCUCAUGGCCCUUAUGGGUAGGGCUUCACACGUCAUACAAUGGUACAUACAGAGGGCCGGCCAACCCGCGAGGGGAGGCGAAAUACCCACGAAAGUAGUAUCGUAGUCCGGAUUGUAGUCCGCAACUCGACUACAUGAAGUUGG